GAAAUGCGAUAAGUAAUGUGAAUUGCAGAAUUCAGUGAAUCAUCGAAUCUUUGAACGCAGCUUGCGCUCCUUGGUAUUCCUUGGAGCAUGCCUGUUUGAGUAUCAUGAAAUCUUCAAAGUAAAUCUUUUGUUAACUCAAUUGGUUUCUACUUUGGUAUUGGAGGUCUUUGCAGCUUCACACCUGCUCCUCUUUGUUCAUUAGCUGGAUCUCAGUGUUAUGCUUGGUUCCACUCGGCGUGAUAAGUUAUCUAUCGCUGAGGACACUGUAAAAGGUGGCCAAGGUAAACGCAGAUGAACCGCUUCUAAUAGUCCAUUGACUUGGACAAUACUUUUAUGAUCUGAUCUCAAAUCAGGUAGGACUACCCGCUGAACUUAAGC
rnacentral:misc_RNA from 1 species